CAAUUCCUACCAGCCAAAUUUCAUCAUAAGCCCAAUACACAUUUUUCCUUUACUAAUCAGCCAACUAUUGCUCCUAAUUUCCCAGGCCCAAAUAUAUACUGACCUGGACCACAUCAAAUAUCCUCCUUAUCCCCUCUUCUCCACAAGAACACCAUAUAUUCAAAAACCAAAAAUUAAUGAACGAUCCAGUCGCCAAAUCAAACCAUUUCAAUGGUGACCCAAACCCCAACUAGUUUGUUCUCGUCCAAAUGCCCUCACCUUUACUCGAGUUCAUAAAAUCCUCAUAUGAUUAGCAUGAUUUUGAUGCAAAAUCAGUCCAAGAAUCCUCUAGAAGACGCGUAGGUGUCCCCUUAACGGAUAAAUUCCUUAAAUUUUGGUAACGACGGUAUGAUUUCGUACAUACUUUGUAGAUUUUAAUUGGAUAUGGGGGAGAAUUCAUUUUCCCCCAAUUCUGGGGUGGAAAAAUGGGCUUCAGGAAUGGAAUUUCAAAAGAUGUUUUCCAGAAAAAUUCCAAACAGACCCCUCCUAAUUGGUUUCCUAUAAAUAGACCCCUUGGUCACUGUUCCCAGGAGGAUUUUUUUUUUCUUUUGGGGAUUUUUUUUCUUUUGGAUUCUUCACUGGGAACCUAGGGGUCUAGGGUUGGGAAAAUCAGAAGAGGCAAAAAUCAGAGUCUCAAAAAUUGGGGAGUGAAAUUUGGUGUUCUAAAAGAACCCUUUCUAAGUUGUCUGGGUGCGAAUGAAGAAACCUCUCUCCGGGAACCUUCCAGUAGCGGUGGUCGAGCUUUCAUUAUAGGUUCGAGUCCCGUUUUUUGCUCCGAAAUAGGUCAUUGCGACACUUUCUAUCGGUGGAUAUCAACCAUCGUUUUGGUAAUAACUUUUCCUUGGUGAAAAUUAUACAUAUAAUUUUCUUUCGACUUAUCGUUUCAUCCGCUUAACUAUUAAAUCAAUUCUUUCUUCUCAUAGUGGGUGUUUAGUUAGCCUUCAAACUUACUGCAACGUGGAUUUUGAAUAGGUCAUCAAAAUAUUAUUUCAUAUUUCAACAUUAGGGUGCAAUUUGCUACUAUUUGACUAAUUGCUUUGUAUCCUGGUGUCACAAUGCUAGUUUUACUAUUCUUCUACGAAUAAGUUGAUGUUUGAGUUGCUUGGUUGCUGGAAAAAAAAAUCCAUAGUGACACCUCUGUAGCUGAAAGUUUCCUUCCUUUAACCUUGUGUUCCUUUCUUUAACAUUAUGUCAAGUGAACAAAAUUUUCUUUUCACGGUUAAAGGUUUCUUCGGCCUCAACACACUUUUUCUCCUAUCCGAAAUUUGGAUUGAAAUUUUCUUUAAUUUACCAAUUAAAAGAAAAAUUAUUUUUGACCCAUAUCCUAAUGUUUCAAGUCUCAGUGGAAAAUCAAAUACCAUGUUCUAGUUUGGUGUUGCUUUGUGGUGAUUCAAGAUCAUUAAUGGAUUAUCCCUUUAAUUCAUUAUAUGAUUGAGUAAUCUGCUUAGUUUACUUCUCCCUAUCUUCCCCUUCUCAAUUAAAAAGAGGUCAAAAUUUGGUUGAACCACGGUUGCAAGCUAAUAAGUUUGAUAAAGUGAAAUUUUUCCUAAUCUAAUUCUAUCAUUUUGGUACACUUUUGUCAUUAUAGUCUUGUCUUCACCAAUAGCUCUCUUCUCCAGUGAUAUUGCUCUCACUUGUUGCUAGAUUUGUUUAUCUUAUCCAUCUUUUCUAUGUUGCUUCAUUACUGUAGUUGAAAUGUUUGCUUUAAUUCAAGAAACUUUGGGUCAUUUGCUUCCGCAUUAUGUCACGUGACACCUUUGGAUAGAUACUGAUUCUUUUUCUUUUCUUUUUGCAUGAACUACUUUGGGAGUCCAAUUUGGAUCUUUUUCCUUGCAUUACACAAUAGUUCACGAAGGUGGAGAAAUGGGUUUUUGUCAUCUAACGCAAGGAAUCAAAAGGAGAAGAAUGGGUUAGAGUCCCACAUUUGACGCUGUUACAAGAUUCAAAAUCUCAUUUGUUAUUUUAUUUAUUUACUUAUUGUCGUCUUUACUUAUUUAUAAUUUGCUUAUUCAUUUAUUCGGGCCUCGAAGUCAAUGUUGUACUUAAUACAAAUGGAGCAAGAUUGAGCUAAAAGCUCAAAACUAGAUUAGGACAGGGACGACGGUUUGGGCUUAAAAGCCUAAAUCACUACUUCUCCCCUUUCCUCUUUCCCUUUUCCUUCUUGUUUACAUGUUUCUUGCGAACCUA